AGUGAACGCUGGCGGUAGGCCUAACACAUGCAAGUCGAACGGCAGCACAGUAAGAGCUUGCUCUUACGGGUGGCGAGUGGCGGACGGGUGAGGAAUACAUCGGAAUCUACUUUUUCGUGGGGGAUAACGUAGGGAAACUUACGCUAAUACCGCAUACGACCUACGGGUGAAAGCAGGGGAUCUUCGGACCUUGCGCGAUUGAAUGAGCCGAUGUCGGAUUAGCUAGUUGGCGGGGUAAAGGCCCACCAAGGCGACGAUCCGUAGCUGGUCUGAGAGGAUGAUCAGCCACACUGGAACUGAGACACGGUCCAGACUCCUACGGGAGGCAGCAGUGGGGAAUAUUGGACAAUGGGCGCAAGCCUGAUCCAGCAAUACCGCGUGGGUGAAGAAGGCCUUCGGGUUGUAAAGCCCUUUUGUUGGGAAAGAAAAGCAGCAGGUUAAUACCCCGCUGUUCUGACGGUACCCAAAGAAUAAGUACCGGCUAACUUCGUG
rnacentral:rRNA from 1 species